AGGAAGCUCUAAUGAUUUUUCCUCCUCAUAUUACAAAUACCCCACACAGGGUCAUAAUCCAAUAAAAUGAAUGAGUAACUAGAUGUAUAGUCUUCUGGUUUACCCAGGAGAAGAGGUAACAUGGACCUUUUCACUCUGACAUGAUCCUGCUAAGUCCACCAGAUUGAGUAGAGAGGUCCGUAUAUUCACAGUCUCAUUGCUUUUCUCCAUUGACUCUAUUGUAAUUGUAAACACUGCAUGAGACCGAGAAGAUUCUCUAUUCAUUGAUGUUGAUGCCACACGUCUGUUUCUCCACCCUCCAGACAGCACCUAGGCAACAGGGAAAUAUAUUGUCACAACUUCCAAGUGACACAACAGCCACUAUCCUCAGUAUGAAAUUUUGUAAAGGACAACGAGAAGAAAUAUUGGUCCAUCGAGGAACACACUCAAGUUACUCUCCCCUUUCUGGUUCCCUCUCCAUGUUACGGAAAGAGAACAAAUAGGAAAUCAGCAGGCUGAGGAUCCAGAACUAGUUUUGCUGUUCUCGAUUUGUACUAACUUAAUGCAAAUCAUAAAAUCUCUCUCAAUCCUUUUGCCUAGAUAAUGAGAAAGUUAGACAAAAUAAAUCUCAAAAUUACCUUCAAGACCAA